rnacentral:rRNA from 1 species
AUUGAACGCUGGCGGCAGGCUUAACACAUGCAAGUCGAGCGGAGAUGAGGUGCUUGCACCUUAUCUUAGCGGCGGACGGGUGAGUAAUGCUUAGGAAUCUGCCUAUUAGUGGGGGACAACAUUCCGAAAGGAAUGCUAAUACCGCAUACGCCCUACGGGGGAAAGCAGGGGAUCUGCGGACCUUGCGCUAAUAGAUGAGCCUAAGUCGGAUUAGCUAGUUGGUGGGGUAAAGGCCUACCAAGGCGACGAUCUGUAGCGGGUCUGAGAGGAUGAUCCGCCACACUGGGACUGGGACACGGCCCAGACUCCUACGGGAGGCAGCAGUGGGGAAUAUUGGACAAUGGGCGGAAGCCUGAUCCAGCCAUGCCGCGUGUGUGAAGAAGGCCUUUUGGUUGUAAAGCACUUUAAGCGAGGAGGAGGCUACCUGGAUUAAUACUCUAGGAUAGUGGACGUUACUCGCAGAAUAAGCACCGGCUAACUCUGUGCCAGCAGCCGCAGUAACAC